rnacentral:rRNA from 1 species
CCUACGGGAGGCAGCAGUGGGGAAUAUUGGACAAUGGGCGAAAGCCUGAUCCAGCAAUGCCGCGUGAGUGAAGAAGGCCUUCGGGUUGUAAAGCUCUUUUACCCGGGAAGAUAAUGACUGUACCGGGAGAAUAAGCUCCGGCUAACUCCGUGCCAGCAGCCGCGGUAAUACGGAGGGAGCUAGCGUUGUUCGGAAUUACUGGGCGUAAAGCGUACGUAGGCGGCUUGGUAAGUCAGAGGUGAAAGCCCACGACUCAAUCGUGGAACUGCCUUUGAGACUGCUUCGCUUGAAGAUGGGAGAGGUUAGUGGAAUUCCGAGUGUAGAGGUGAAAUUCGUAGAUAUUCGGAAGAACACCAGUGGCGAAGGCGGCUAACUGGACCAUUCUUGACGCUGAGGUACGAAAGCGUGGGGAGCAAACAGGAUUAGAUACCCUGGUAGUCCACGCCGUAAACGAUGAUAACUAGCUGUCGGGGCUCUUGGAGCUUCGGUGGCGCGAGCUACGCAUUAAGUUAUCCGUCCGUCGGGUAGGUACGGCCGGCGAACGGUUAAACGUUAAAACGGUAAGUUAGUACGGCGUGAGACGUGCCGACGGACGACGACGAGGGAGUAGG